UGGAGGUUUUGGUGUCAUUACU
rnacentral:siRNA from 1 species